GCUGAGCAAGCCAGUAAAGAACAUCCCUCCAUGGCCUCUGCAUCAGCUCCUGCUUUCUGACCUGCUUGACUUCCAGUCCUGCAUUCUUUGGUGAUCAACAGCAGUAUGGAAAUGUAAGCCGAAUAAACCCUUUCCUCCCCAACUUGCUUCUUGGUCAUGAUGUUUGUGCAGGAAUACAAACCCUGACUAAGACAAAUUGGUACCAGCAUAGUGGGGUAUUCCUGUGACAACCUGACCAUGUUUUGGGGAGGAUUGUGGAAGGACUUUGGAACUUUGGGCUUGAAGAUCCAUCCAUUGUUAAGAGCUCUGUUGGAGGUUGUGCAGGAGCUUGGAAGAUAAUGUUGAGAACACUGUAGAAGAUGGAGGUCUGGUUUGUGAAAUUUCAGAGGGAAAAUUAAAGACUCUUUUCAGGGCCAUUGCUGUUUUGAUUGUGAAGAUUCUGUAGUUCUGGUUAGCUGGGGCUGAAGAAUCAGCUGUGAUUAACAAGAUACCAGAACUACUAAAGCAAAAACUUUGCAUUACUGGGACUAUUGAUGCUGGUUAGCUGGAGCUAAGAAAUUAGCGGUGAUUAAGAAGAGACCAGCAUCAUUGAGGUGACAUCUUCUGGGAAGUGUUUUCUGAAAGCACAAAGAGGCUGUGUUCCAGAGAUAGCCAAGGUUGCACUCCUGCUGCAGCGGGACUUGGUAAUAUGUAAGGGUCACCCAGGUGGUAUUGGUUUUGAAGGCAUGAAGGAGUUGAGCAGAGCAGCUGAGGCUUGGCACUGUGAGAGGCCAUGGAAGGCCAUUGGUGAAAGUGCAGCCUCAGUUGCAAUUGAUGGCCCAGGACUGAAGGGGUCAUGCAGUGUUUUGGAGAUGCCAGUACCAUGAGAUGACCACCAAGAGCAGCAGCAGCAGUGGAGUAGAGGCAUCUGGAGCCUAGAGGAUGACGCGUGUGCUACAAAGGGCAUGGCUGGAGAAGUGACCCAAGCCCUUGGAGGAGCCCAGAAGAUCGUGAGUUGGAUCCCAGACAUUGGACGGUUGGAGAUUGAUUUUUGCUUUUGAUUGUGACUGUGCCCUGAUAUUUUCCCUCUUGAAGGAAGAAACUGUUUUAGUGAUGCCCACAGUUAAGAGACUUUUAAUUUAAAAAGACUUUGGAUUUUUAAAAGAGAUGGAUAUUUUAAAGAGAUUGAAAUUUUAAGAAUAUGUAAAGACUGUGGGACAUUUAAAGUUAUUUAGACCUUGGGGAUGAAUAAGAAUGUAAGGGUUGAGGCUUACUAGUGAUGUGUUUGUGUGUCAAGUUGACAAGGGGUCAGUUGUAUUGGCUAGUUUUGUGUCAACUUGACACAGCUAGAGUUAUCACAGAGAAAGGAGCUUCAGUUGAGGAAAUGCCUCCAUGAGAUCCAACUGUAAGGCAUUUUCUCAAUUAGUGAUCAAGGGGGCAAGGCCCCUUGUGGGUGGGACCAUCUCUGGGCUGGUUGUCUUGGGUUCUAUAAGAGAGCAGGCUGAGCAAGCCAGUAAAGAACAUCCCUCCAUGGCCUCUGCAUCAGCUCCUGCUUUCUGACCUGCUUGACUUCCAGUCCUGCAUUCUUUGGUGAUCAACAGCAGUAUGGAAAUGUAAGCCGAAUAAACCCUUUCCUCCCCAACUUGCUUCUUGGUCAUGAUGUUUGUGCAGGAAUACAAACCCUGACUAAGACACCUGGGAUGAUGGCCUAGUCGGCCAUCACUGGAAAGAGAGGCCCAUUGGACUUGCAAACUUUAUAUGCCCCAGUACAGGGGAAUACCAGGGCCAAAAAGGGGGAGUGGGUGGGCAGGGGAGUGGGGGUGGGUGGAUAUGGGGGACUU
rnacentral:lncRNA from 1 species